rnacentral:misc_RNA from 1 species
AAUUUGGAAUAUGCAAGCAGCCGGCGCAGGAUUUUCGUUUCGAUUAAGAUUAUUGUAUAAAAGAGUGAUAUCGCCAUUAAUAUUAUUAUGUAAAAGUGUGAUAGCAUCUAAACAUUCAGUCCAUCAGGAAGCUCAGACAUCGAGAUUGAAGUCGAGGCGUUUGAUGUGGAAAUUAUUUCGGGAUAGGAAAUGGAAAUCGAGUGAGAGGAGUGAUGCAGAGCUGUUAGUUGAUACACUGA